UACGUAGGGGGCAAGCGUUGUCCGGAUUUAUUGGGCGUAAAGAGCGUGUAGGCGGUCAGGGUAGGUCCGUUGUGAAAACUCGAGGCUCAACCUCGAGACGCCGAUGGAAACCAUCUGACUAGAGUCCGGAAGAGGAGAGUGGAAUUCCUGGUGUAGCGGUGAAAUGCGCAGAUAUCAGGAGGAACACCAAUGGCGAAGGCAGCUCGCUGGGACGUGACUGACGCUGGAGACGCGAAAGCGUGGGGAGCAAACAGG
rnacentral:rRNA from 1 species